rnacentral:tRNA from 1 species
GAACUCAAGGAGGCCUCGAAUGAGCUGAGUGGGAU